rnacentral:misc_RNA from 1 species
AACUUUCGGCAAUGGAUCACUUGGCUCUCGCAUCGAUGAAGAACGCAGCGAAAUGCGAUAAGUAAUGUGAAUCGCAGAAUUCAGUGAAUCAUCGAAUCCUUGAACGCACCUUGCGCUCCUUGGUAUUCCGAGGAGCCUGCCUGUUUGAGUGUCAUUAAAUUCUCAACCUCUUCCAUUUUUAUUUAUGGUUUAGGCUUGGAUGUGGGGGUUGCGGGCUUCUCAGAAGUCGGCUCUCCUUAGAUGCAUUAGCGGAACCUUUGUGGACCGUCUUUGGUGUGAUAAUUAUCUACGCCAUGGUCGUGAAGCAGUUUUACAUGGGGUUCAGCUUAUAACCGUCUAUUUACUUGGACAACUUUUGACAUUUUGACCGCAAAUCAGGUAGGACUACCCGCUGAACUUAAGCAUAUCAAUAAGCGGAGGCU